GUUGAGGUGGAGGAAGCUGCUGCUGCUAUGAGGAAGACAUCCUAUGUGAAUCCCAAACAUCCCAGGGUUGAUGUGAUUAGAUAUUAUGAAGAUGAAAUGAUAGAGGACGAGGAGAAAUCUCAAAUUGACAAGGAAGCAUUCAAAGAACAAGAGGUAUUUAUUGUGUUCUUUAGUUGCAUGCACGAUCACUCAAGAACAUAUCAAUCAAAAUAAGAUGUUGGAGCACACAUUAAGUUAAGAAAUCAAAGCUUAUUAUUUAUGUUAAUAAUUCCCCCCAAUGUAUUAUACUUGUUAAAAAAAUACUGAACUAUUCUUUUCUGAUAUACUAGCUUGUUACUGAUCAAUGCCAUGUCACUUGUUAAUUGUUAUACGUGAAAGGUUUAAUUAUAAUCAUUGCCCCUUCUCUUGAAUGCAGAUCAUUCUUGAGAAGAUUGGACCCUGGGGAGGAAAUAUAGGGAGAAACCGCGACAUAAAGGUGGCACCACAAUAUCUAAGGAGUGUGAAAAUUUGUUGUGGUGAUGUUAUAGAUGCAUUUGCGUUUUCUUACCUGGACGGAAAUGGGAAUCUGCAUCAGACACCUCUUUGGGGUGGUACUGGUGGGACCAUCCACACGGUUAGUAAUGAACUUCUCAUGCAUUGUGCAAGACCUUGUUAAGACAAAUUAUAUUAAAUGUACUCUUCAAAAGGUGCAACACAGGAUUAUCAUCUUUACACAUAAAAAAACCAAUAACAAAACUAACAUAGUGUUAUUAUAAACAUAGUUGGAUUGACCAUCAUUUUUUUAUUGCAGAUAAAUUUUAAAAUUCAGAAAUACAAAGAUUAGACGUAUGGUUCAUAUACAAUUAAGAAUGAGAAGUGGUUCUCUAUAUGCAAAACAAGAACGGAUAAUUUAAAUAGAUUGAGCUGCCAAACAUAUAAAAAUAAACUGCGUGUGCCCACACAUUAACUAAGCUAUUCUAAAUAUCUACAUAUGUGAGCGGUUUUCCAUUGGCCAAAUAAAUUCCCAAUAAACAUUUGAAGCUUCAUAAUUACCACUGAUUUUGCAGAUUAUACUAGAACCCUCGGAAUCUGUGAUUGAAAUUUCAGGGACUUUUGGUCCGUAUGGUCAAUUUCCCAGCAUCAUAAAGUCGCUUAUGCUCGUGACCAACAUACAUACAUAUGGGCCUUUUGGGCAGCUACAUGGAACUCCUUUCCACUCCCGGGUGAAGAAAAACAACAGUAUUGUUGGCUUCUUUGGGUGCUCAGGGGAAUUUCUUCAUGCAAUAGGUGUUUAUAUUCAUCCUUAGUUUCUAAAUCUUAGCUAUGACUUCUCAAUGUUUCUGUUUUGUGUGGGAAGACUUCUCAGUGUUCUUUGAAGAAUGUCGGUACUCAAACUCCGUGAUGUGUUCAUAUAACAAAUAAGCCAAUUCCUGAUUUUUGUAAUGAUGAAGUGGAUGCUGCCAAUAGGGGAAGAACGUAUUGGCUUGACCUCUAUCCAGUAUCCACUUACAGUUUAGAUGUGUUGAUGUGUUCGUGCUUUAGUUUCCCUUAAUGUUUAUCUUCUUCACUUAUGAAUGUUGAUUCCAUGCUUUGAUUUCCCUUAUGCCCGUUUUGGGCAUUUUACACCCAUGAUGCCCCCCCCCCCCCCCCCCACCCCCACUGUCCCACAUGUUCAGGCCAGUAGGUGUUCAACACUUUCUGCGUGCUCACAAAAGGGGCAAAAGACCAUUGCCUGGACUAAUGACUCAUUUGAAGUUGCUCCCUAUAUCCCUAUAACUAUAAGACGGGCUCUAUCCUGCUGAAUGACUCGCCAGGUGAAUACCCUCCUUUUUAAGGAAUAAAAAGGCCCACAUAACAUCAUUUCAUAUACGUGUUGGUAACUCCCAUGUAGAUUUUGUUAGCGGUGAGCUCCCGUACAACCCAGUCCUCCUGAUCAAUGAUAGCUUCUAGCGAGCACAUAAGUUAACGCGCGUUCACCAAGGAUUCAACAGCUAAACAAUCUUUGUUUUCAGCUGCUUGGGGCAAGUCAAUGGAACUGGAAUUUUGAAGCUAAUUUGCUCCACCAGCAACCAUGCCAAAAACUCGUUUUCCUACCAUUACCGACUAUGUAGACUCACCCCAUGUAAAGCAGUGCUUGCGUUGUUAUAACCCAUUCCAGAACUGAGACCCCCCGCACCAGGAGUUAGCGCUGCCGCCGAUUGUGGACGAGGCCGAGGCCAUGGUGGCAAUAGAGGACAUGGAGGAAGGCAAGGCAGUCAAGCAGCAUUUCAAAGCAGGCGAUAGAUGGGUCAAGGGAGGGUGUGAAUAAGGGAUUUCUCAUGUCAGUCUCGAAGGGGUAGGCUCCCAUGGCUGGUGUAGAAGAGGCGGCGCCUGAUGAGGCCCACCAGCGUUUGAAGACAAGGGAGGCACAAAGGAGGAAGGGGGGCUGCAAGGGGAGGUGGAGGAGGAUCUCACUGAGGAUGUCAGACAAUGUUUUCUUCUUCGAUGGAUUCAUCAACAAUGCUUUCAAGGUCCAAUUUCAUGAACUUAUCACCACAUUUCCACUGUCUAGGAUAGGCCCUGUGUUUUUUUUAAAUGGACUUUAUUGAUCAUAUGAUAGCAUUGUCAUCUACAGGGUCAGAAGGAGUAGGCAGGCCUUGCUAAGCAGUUAACCACCUGGUUUGCAUUGUGAUCACAAAAACACUCGGCCUGGGCCAUUGCAUCCAUUCCAAAAUGGUUCGUGGCACCAUUCAGUGUUUCUAUGAGAUGUAAGCAAUCAGAUUCCACUACAAUCUGGCUGCAGCCCCAUUUUUUGUUGGCACUAUUAGCUGCUUCCGGGUGCACCAGAAUAAAACCAAAACGGACGCACGUCGGCACAACACCACUCGUCGGGAAGCAGCAACGCAACACCAACUGGAUUCACCUAAAGUCCUUGCUGGUCUCCCUACCCAGCCCAGCUCCAGCAUGUUGGUGAUGUUUAAGUCAAGAUCAAUCUGCAGCUUCCAGGAGCCCCCCGCUAGUGCUGCAUGAAAAACGACUGUUUCAUGAAUGACAUCAGCAGGUUAACUGUUGAACAACUUUGACUUCGAAACUCGGGCCGCCAAAACAGAGCCCAAGCCGCUAAGAAUAAACCAAGCAAAUCACACAAUGGGGCAGCUAAGAAACAGGUGGUCAACACUUUGAAUGUGCUGCAAUAGAUAUUUUGAAGUUGCUCCCUAGCAGGGACACUAUCCGGAAUGACUCGGAAGGUGAAAUAUCCUGCUGCUUUUUAUAGAGAAAUACGAAGCCCAUGUAAGUCAUAGCUCUAUACAUUGACUUGCAGUGUAAAUUUAGUUAGCAGUGAGUCCCACACGGCAGUCGUCCUGAUCAGGUGAGGGAGAUAUAGAGUAACAUUACACAGUUAAUACAUGAAGUUGCCUGCCGCAAAUACAUUAGUUAGAAAUUGGUGUUGCUUAUAAGUAAUAAGUAAUGCACAGCUGGUGGCCCAAAUCAGCCUGGGAGGUCAGGGUGCGGUGCUGUUGAAAUGAACCUGACUCUGGUGAUGCAUGCCCAUCCAAAUCACUUCGAACACAGACGUCUCUGUGAUGGUUGAUGUUGUUCAUGACACUACGCGUGGACGUCAGGAAGAUACAAGUUCCAUCUUACUUGACGAGCUUCCCCCUACUGCUUGACUGCUACAACCUCUUCCUUAAAAACCAUCUUACUUGACGAGCUUCCCCCUGCUUCUUGACUGCUACAACCUCUUCCUUAAAAACCACGACGGCCUCGCACUCGUCAUCAACCGGCAACACCACCAGUUCCUGUAACCGGAGACCAACAGCUACUGGACUGACAACCAGUUCAUUGCACCACGAUACAAAGUACAAUCGGCUUCUUACCAACAUUACAUUACAUCACGGUUCUUGUAGGAACAUUGCAACGGACUAAUGUAACCUAAAGAUCAACAAAUAAAGGCAAACCAAACUUUUUGAAGGGCGACAAGUAAUAUAUUUCUGUAACAAAAAAAUGAAGAUACAUUACUUGAAGUUACCAUCUCGUUUUUUGAUAAGCAAGCAACAUGACCUGACUGAAGAGAGAAAUUGGCAAAACUAACCCGAGCAAUGUGGAGACACCAUAGGAGGAGGGUUGGUAGUGAUGGGUGUAGGGCUUCCCGGACCUCAACUCCACACGUGUUGUUAAUAAUUAUCAGCUAGGCUCUGGUUACUUUGUGCUACCUAAUGCGAAAUUGAGGCCCCAGAAAUGAUACACACAUCGCUAUCAACCCUCCGCCCAUGGCCGUCACUGGAUCACCAAGGCUAGGUUUGCCCACACCUCUUUUUAUUUAGUUCAUGUUGCUUAUCAUUGUUUGUCUUAUUUUUAUUUAUUACUGCCAAAUAUAUUUGUUAAUAUAGUUCAAUAAACUUAUCAUCGUGCAUGGCACAAUAAUAAACUUAUCAUUGUGUGCAAACUUGAGCAUUGUUACCAUCUAAAAGAUUUGUUUUGCCUUUGUGUGAUAAUCUUUAGGCUACACUAGUCAACCGAGAUGUCGCUACAAAGACCAUGGUGCAAUGUAUGGUUUGUCUGGUAGGUAACAACUAAGAAGACACUGACGAUACUUUGUAAUAUGGUGAAAAUAACAAAGUGGCGGUCUCUGGUUACAGGACCCCAAACUCCAAACAAACAAGUUGUACUGUUUUGCUGAUUGAGGACGAGGGCUGCAAUCGAGGAAUAGGUCAUACUAGUCAUGUGGCAAGAGAAAUCACACUGCAAGUCUAGGGAGGGUGUGAAAAAGGGUUGACUCAUGUCGACAUCAUCCGUGGCAGGCACGAAAGAUGCAAAGGAGGCACAGGGGAGGGAGAGCAUGUGGGGGUUAGGCAAAGUAGGAUCUCCCACUAGAGAUCAUCAUCUAGCGGAGGCGCCAUGGGGGACUUUUGUGUUUUAUUCGUGGUUCCAGCAGACUGCCCUCACUUCACUCGGCUAAAAAGAUAUCGACGGUUAGGGCAAGAUGGGCCAAGCCUAAACCUGGGCGUACACCAAGCCGGGCCGGGCUUCGAGCCAGGCUUUGAAAAGCCCGAACCAAAAAUCUCAGGCCCAGGCCCGAGCCCGGCCAGAAAAUGAAAAACUCAGGCCGGAGCCCGGCCCAAACGGACUAAAAAGGGAAUUUCCGAGCCGGGCCAAGCCUCCGUGUAAAAUGGCGAUUUGUGCAAGCCCGAUCCCGGCCCGAACUGCUACCCGGGCUUGUAAACCCGCCCAGAACUGCAAGACUGGUCCAGCCCGGCCCAGGUUUUUCGGGCCAGGCUCGGGCCGGGUCACCGGGCCGGGCUGCCCAUGCCCAGAUUUAGCCAAGCCCAUAUACCACACUAGUUACACAUGAUCCUUGUUGACCAUGCCUUUUUUUUGUAAAAUGAUAACGAAAGCAUGAGUAAGCCCAAUCCAAGGCACACUACCAAAAGACAUACCAUCCACAUGAUCGUCAUAUUUGACACCACAAUAAAGAAAGUCCAUACAAACCCUUGAUACCCUAAUCCUAGUUCAUACAGACAAAACCUAAACCUAGUUUGCCGACAUGAUCGAUGCCAUGUUCAGUCGUCGUAGUUGAUUAGUGCCUGACAACGGACUUGCGCAGCGCACACGCGAGCUCAUGCUCCUUGGCAACCCUGAGCACCUUCUUUGACAUUCACCAGCGCGCGCUGAGCAGCACUAAGUUCAUCGACAGCUGCGCGAGACCUCAUGAAGCGAGGCAUGAUGCUUGCUCAUCGAGUACAUCAAAGCCAGCCCAUGGUCUCGCCCGUCGCUCCAGGAGGGCGAAGCAUGAUCCCACCCCUAGGUCAACCUCCAGGUGCACCGCGCAGCGUCCUCAUUGUUGCUGGAGCUAUAAAUCAUCACCACAACACGACUGGAGAGGCUCACAGACGUGGCCACCAUGGCUUCUACCCGCAUCAACGUGGCUGGAUCUGCCAGCCAUCUAUCUGCCCGAGACGAAGAAGAAGGAGAGGAGAGGAGCGAGAAAUUUCUCACCGAGAUGUCUAACCCUAGCAACGGAGGGGGUCGGAGGGCUAACCGAGCGGAGGGGAUCAGGUGGCUAAGCAGGGCGGAGGGGUAUUUAGGGUUAUUAGUUUAAACAUAUUUACUAUUUUUUAUCACGGUCAAGGUAAGCCAACACUGAUCAGCAAGACCUACAGUAGACACACACGGCAGUAACAAGUUACAAACACAAUGCUGCUGCUGUUGGUUUUAUUUUCUAGUGCAAUCAUCAAUUGCGUCAAAUCUGAGUGAGUAAUUCAGCGGUCUGCAGUCUGUACAAAAUCAAAAGGCACAGGCACCACAUAUAUUACUUACUCCAGAAAUCUGAAGGCAGUAACAAUGCAUAAUUGUUCCGACGAAUCCCACACAACCCUGAGGUCAGCAGCCACUAGUAGUUCACUACCAAAUGCAUAGCCGUCACACAAGUGCAGGUGCAGCGCAGAGGAAGAUUACGGCACGCUGUUUAACGGAGAGGCAGAGCGGUGUACCAUCCAUCACGAAUCGGCCGGACUUCAGGGGAAGGGCGGCAGCCGCAGCACGGCCUGCUCCGUCUCCACGGGGUCGGACCGCGAGAUCUGCACACCACCGGAGCAGCGGCCAGUCAGAACGAUCCAGCGGUAAAUCUGUGCGUGCGUGCGGAGGACGGGCGGACGGGCGGACUCACCGGGUCGCGGAGGACGGGCUUGGUGUCGUCCGCCNNNN
rnacentral:lncRNA from 1 species